ACAAGGUUCCAGACCCUACGGGGUGCAGCAGGCGCGAAACCUCCGCAAUGUACGAAAGUGCGACGGGGGGAUCCCAAGUGUUAUUCUUAAUAGGAUAACUUUUCAUUAGUGUAAAAAGCUUUUAGAAUAAGAGCUGGGCAAGACCGGUGCCAGCCGCCGCGGUAACACCGGCAGCCCAAGUGGUAGCUGUUUUUAUUGGGCCUAAAGCGUUCGUAGCCGGUUUGAUAAGUCUUUGGUGAAAGCUUAUGGCUUAACUGUAAGAAUUGCUGAAGAUACUGUCAGACUUGAAGUCGGGAGAGGUUAGAGGUACUACCGGGGUAGGGGUGAAAUCCUAUAAUCCUGGGAGGACCACCUGUGGCGAAGGCGUCUAACUGGAACGAUCUUGACGGUGAGUAACGAAAGCCAGGGGCGCGAACCGGAUUAGAUACCCGGGUAGUCCUGGCCGUAAACGAUGUGGACUUGGUGUUGGAAUGGCUUCGAGUUGUUCCAGUGCCGAAGGGAAGCUGUUAAGUCCACCGCCUGGGAAGUACGGUCGCAAGACUGAAACUUAA
rnacentral:rRNA from 1 species